UGAAACUUGAAGCUCAAAGUGCUAGGAGCACAGUGUCUCCUACAGCCACUCUCUGCUGUCUGGCACCUGCUGUUCCCUCCCAGGCGGUAACCCAAGAACUCGAAAGGCAGAUUAGUAUCUGCAUGAAGAAGUGGGAAGAUUUGAUUAAGUGGCUCAAAUCUGCAGAGUCCCCUGAACCCAACUGCAAGGACCUGAGUCACAGGAGGAAGGAGAGACGGGCAGGUCAAGCGCUGCUUCUCCAGCAACCAUCGGGAGACAAGAUCUGGCCCUGUUGCCCAUCCUGGAGUGCAGUGGUGUAAUCAUAGCUCACUGCAACCUCGAACCCCUGGGCUGAAGCGAUCCUCCCACCUCAGCCUCCCCAGCAGCUGGGAUUAGAGGCGCUUGCCACCUCACCCACUUAAAUCUUUUUUUCUUUCUUUUUGUAGAUUACUUUUAUAGACAGGGUUCUCACUUUGGGUAUUAACUUUAAUUUCUGUGAUUCAUUUCAUACCAAAAUAAAACUCUGUUAAAAUUGUUUUCUUCUUUCUAUCUUAAGUGCCAGGUAACUGUGACCAGUUUUAUUUAUUAGUACUUCUUCCAUUUGAGGACAAGUAUUUGUUGUCAUUCUGUGCAUUUUGUUCAUAAUUUCUCCAUCCUCUUUUUUCCUCAGAUAUUCUUUUACGUCCUACGCUUUUGCUUUGCAUCAUGUUUAUCUUAGAAGCUACUUUUUACAAAUAGGCAAAGUAUAAAUACAAGCAUUCCUGCUUUAUUGUCAUAAAUGGGUUCUGGAAAAAGCUCACAUUCAACAUAAUUAUGCCCUAAAAGUAACAGAAUGUAUGGGGAAAAUACAAACAGGACAGAUGAACUCAAAAUCUACAGAGCAUUGUUAACAAGUACCCUAUCCCAAAUAAUAGCAAUAUUAGAAUUACAGCCCAGUUAACUCUCCACAGACAUGUGCACUUAGAAUCUCAUUCAUUCUUUGCAUACUUCUAUUCUGGGCUCUGUUUUCUCAUGCUGGUCCUUGAUAACACUCCUGUAAUAGAGACCAAUUUCAUAAAAUCCAAAAUAUGGUCCAGGGCAAUUAUCUUCAUUGAUCUCUUUUUAGAGGAGUGAGGGUUAGUUACAUGGGUGGAAUUGCUUUCCCAGCUUUUUCAUCUGUACUGGCAGCCUCUCCAGAGAGCAAACUGUGGUGGUUCUGGAUGACAUCAAACCAGCCACAUUUGCACUGAAAGAAGGGUGUCUAUAUUUUGAGUUUCUUACUUUCUUCACAUGUUCCUAAGAUUUUCCCUUUAUUGUGAAAAAAAAAAAAACCUGCUCCUAAUUUCAAAAUAUUAACAUGCUAACAAACAUCCUAUAUGAACUUACUUACUAGAAUUUCAAGUUAUUCUGAUAUUAGGGACAGAUGCAGGUUUUGUGGGACUUGACGGUUCUACUACCUUCAAAGUCCUUUAAGAAACAGAAUGUAAAAUUACAAAUAUCACAUUUCGUUUAAGUGACUAUUCAUUUAGAAUUUAGAAUAGUGGGAAAAUUACAAUAAUUUACAACUUUCAAAAUGC
rnacentral:lncRNA from 1 species